GGAUUUUCCGAUGGCCUCUGCCGUUGCCUGAGGGGGCGGACGCCAUGCCGGGCAGGGCAGCACAGUCCAUCAUCUUGAGUCGCGGGCGACUGGCGGGCGCGGUAAUGGCGUCUUUUCGGACUACCCUUACACGGGAUCGGGCACGCGGGAAGCCUCGGCCCCGGGUGGUUCGAGCAAUUAUGGGUUCUCAGAUGAGGGUGGCCGUUGCUUGACGGGGCGGACGCGGUUCCCGGCAGAGCGACCCAGUCCGGCCUUGGGAGAAGGCGACCGGGUAAACGGUCAGGAACCGGAGCCUUGCUUCGGUUGGGGGCGGCUUUCGGUAAUAGUGAUAAUAACAGAGGUAUUUAUUAAGCGCUUACUGUGUGUCAAGCACUGUUCUGAGUGCGGGGGUAGGUAGAAGCUAAUGAGGUAGGGCACAGUCCCUGUCCCACACCGGGCGCACAGUAGGAGGGGAGGCUAGCGGGUGCUGUAUUUUUUUUUUUUCCGAAUAAGGGCGGUUGGGAAGUUUUAGACCGGUUAAAGGUGUGUCAGUUUCCUCAGAGGAGUGUGACCGUUGCUUGAGGGGGCGGGUAGUUUGGGAGAAGGUGGAUGGGAAAAGAUUUGGCGGGAACUGGGGCCUCGUUUGAGGUGUAGGCGGCUUUCGGCUAAGGGACGCGGUAACGGCUUUCUCUCUGACUGCGCAGGCGCGAAGCUUCGGCCGGGCUGUGGAGCUCCAUUGUCCCUGGGGGCCGCGCCCCGCCCUCCACAGAGACUGCUGAUUAGUGGGGCCGAGGAGAGGAGUCACUGCCUGUUGGACGGGAGGCCCCUCAACUUCAUCGACUGCCUUGUAUCCCAAAGACUCUAAACUAAGUGAAGCCUGGCACGUACCCCAGCCCAUCGCAGAGUGCUUUACUUGAAAUCCACACAUCAUUGAAAAGUUUUGAGGAAAGACUCAGAAAAAGAAACAUCUAUCUUAGAUUCUUUCAAAACCUCUGAGACAUCCAUCUUAGAGGAAAAAUCCAAGUCACAGUUUGAGAACCUCCUAAAUUACAGUUAGCAGAGGAACACCAGAAGCAUAAUGGAAGCAUUUAAGUUGUCCUCUGACCUGGAAGAUGACAGUUCCCCGAUCUCUCCAGUUCAAAUUCAGGACUUGGAGUUCAGCAGUGAGGAUAAGCCAAGUGAUACAUUAAAUAUUGAUGAAACAACCUUAUUCCCUGAUAAACCAGAUGAUUUACCAUUAUUUGAAUAUGGAGGGUAUGAUGUAACUCCAGCGCUGGAGAGUAGUACCUCUUCUAAAAGCCAAAGCAAAGCAAAUUUGAAGGCAAAGAUUGAACAGUUGCAAAUUAAUUUAGAACCUAAGCGGGCCACUAGGAAAUCUAGCUCCAAGGUCAAUACUGGCAAGGGUUUUAAGGAAGGCAGUUACACUGGCAAAGAGCCAAUUGGCAAGAAGGCUAAGGCUAAGUCUAAAUUCAAACUAAAAUGGCCAUCUAGUGGCACUGGCGACUCCCUGUUCCAAAGUACCUCACAACUCCUGGGAUUUGGUAUGGAAAAGGAAGAAAAGCAGUCCAGAGCGGAGUUGUCAAGUGAAAGUGAACUGGACAUCCCAGUGGCGGGCCAGGGCGACCAAGAAAGCAAGUCAACAAAAAUGCCAGAAACAAGACUCGAGUCUUUUCAAGAAUAUUUGUUUCGCAAGCAAGCGACAAGAAGAAGAGUAUGCUUCUCAGAGAAAAGCCCCAUCGGAGGCAACGUCAAUCAACCCCAAUUCCAUCUAGAAGUAUUUGAUUCAGCUCCAGCUUCUGGCCAGAAAUCCCUUUUCCUGUCUUCAAAAGAAAAGGCAGAGAGAGAAAUGGAAAAUCCUGCAAUCCCGGAAGCAAAAAAGAGAAAAUACUAUAAGUGAAGAGAUCAUCUAAGUGCAUAAUCUACUUCAGAGAUUUAGCUUUAUUCAGAAGCUGAGAAAUCAUUGAGUUCUGUCGACCCCAAACCUGUUGUCAAGUUGCACACCUUCUAGCAGCCUGAGGCCCAUUGUCCUGGAUUAAUCUCCAGCAGGUCAAGUUGGGUAACUUGUGGUUAUGUGGGUUUCUACUUAGAGAAGUCGCCCCACUGACAACCCACUCUAAAGUUUCAAUUUUAAAAUUCAUAGUUUAGGAAACAAGUGUUUAUUUGUAAUCCUGUUGAGGAGUUUGCUGCUAGAAAGGCUAUUCAUGUUUAUGUGAAAGAGGAAGCUGUUAUGGUAGACCUGAUAUAAUUACUUGGUAUUUUGUAAUAAAUGUUAUUAAAAGUUC